GACGAACGCUGGCGGCGUGCUUAACACAUGCGAGUCGAACGAUGAACUUGGAGCUUGCUCUGGGGGAUUAGUGGCGAACGGGUGAGUAACACGUGAGUAACCUGCCCUGGACUCUGGGAUAACUUCGAGAAAUCGGAGCUAAUACCGGAUAGGACCUUGCACCGCAUGGUGUGGGGUGGAAAGUUUUUCGGUUUGGGAUGGACUCGCGGCCUAUCAGCUUGUUGGUGAGGUAAUGGCUCACCAAGGCGUCGACGGGUAGCCGGCCUGAGAGGGUGACCGGCCACACUGGGACUGAGACACGGCCCAGACUCCUACGGGAGGCAGCAGUGGGGAAUAUUGAACAAUGGGCGCAAGCCUGAUGCAGCAACGCCGCGUGCGGGAUGACGGCCUUCGGGUUGUAAACCGCUUUUAGUAGGGAAGAAGCCUUCGGGUGACGGUACCUGCAGAAAAAGGACCGGCUAACUACGUGCCAGCAGCCGCAGUAACAC
rnacentral:rRNA from 1 species